UGAACUAUUCUGCAACAUUUGUUGAUGUGGUUCUGCAAGUAAAUGCUGCAGAAUUGUGCUC
ensembl:miRNA